rnacentral:rRNA from 1 species
GACGAACGCUGGCGGCGUGCUUAACACAUGCAAGUCGAACGGAAAGGCCCUGCUUUUGUGGGGUGCUCGAGUGGCGAACGGGUGAGUAACACGUGAGUAACCUGCCCUUGACUUUGGGAUAACUUCAGGAAACUGGGGCUAAUACCGGAUAGGAUCUCCUGCUGCAUGGUGGGGGUUGGAAAGUUUCGGCGGUUGGGGAUGGACUCGCGGCUUAUCAGCUUGUUGGUGGGGUAGUGGCUUACCAAGGCUUUGACGGGUAGCCGGCCUGAGAGGGUGACCGGCCACAUUGGGACUGAGAUACGGCCCAGACUCCUACGGGAGGCAGCAGUGGGGAAUAUUGCACAAUGGGCGGAAGCGUGAUGCAGCAACGCCGCGUGCGGGAUGACGGCCUUCGGGUUGUAAACCGCUUUCGCCUGUGACGAAGCGUGAGUGACGGUAAUGGGUAAAGAAGCACCGGCUAACUACGUG